rnacentral:rRNA from 1 species
CUGAUUAGCUAGUUGGUAAGGUAACGGCUUACCAAGGCGACGAUCAGUAGCCGACCUGAGAGGGUGAUCGGCCACAUUGGAACUGAGACACGGUCCAGACUCCUACGGGAGGCAGCAGUGGGGAAUAUUGCACAAUGGGGGAAACCCUGAUGCAGCGACGCCGCGUGAAGGAAGAAGUAUCUCGGUAUGUAAAGCUCUAUCAGCAGGGAAGAAACUGACGGUACCUGACUAAGAAGCACCGGCUAAAUAC